AUUGAACGCUGGCGGCAGGCCUAACACAUGCAAGUCGAGCGGAGCGGCGGACGGGUGAUUAAUGCCUAGGAAUCUGCCUGGUAGUGGGGGAUACCGUCCGGAAACGGGCGCUAAUACCGCAUACUAUCAGAUGAGCCUAGGUCGGAUUAGCUAGUUGGUGGGGUAAAGGCCUACCAAGGCGCAGAUCCGUAACUGGUCUGAGAGGAUGAUCGUUCACACUGGAACUGAGACACGGUCCAGACUCCUACGGGAGGCAGCAGUGGGGAAUAUUGGACAAUGGGCGAAAGCCUGAUCCAGCAAUGCCGCGUGUGUGAAGAAGGUCUUCGGAUGGUAAAGCACUUUAAGUUGGGAGGCGUUAUCAACAGAAUAAGCACCGGCUAACUUCGUGCCAGCAGCCGCGGUAAUUC
rnacentral:rRNA from 1 species